rnacentral:rRNA from 1 species
GACGAACGCUGGCGGCGUGCUUAACACAUGCAAGUCGUACGAUGACCCGGCUCUUCGGAGCUGGUGAUUAGUGGCGAACGGGUGAGUAACACGUGGGUGACCUGCCCUGCACUCUGGGAUAAGCCCGGGAAACUGGGUCUAAUACUGGAUACGACCAGUGGCCGCAUGGUCUGCUGGUGGAAAGCCCUUCGGGGUGGUGUGGGAUGGCCCGCGGCCUAUCAGCUUGUUGGUGGGGUGAUGGCCUACCAAGGCGACGACGGGUAGCCGGCCUGAGAGGGUGUCCGGCCACACUGGGACUGAGACACGGCCCAGACUCCUACGGGAGGCAGCAGUGGGGAAUCUUGCACAAUGGGCGAAAGCCUGAUGCAGCGACGCCGCGUGAGGGAUGACGGCCUUCGGGUUGUAAACCUCUUUCGGCAGGGAACAAGCCUGGGGGUUUUCUUCUGGGUGAGGGUACCUGCGGAAGAAGCACCGGCUAACUACGUG